UAUGGCAGGGCGCGGCGUACAGCUCAGUAACACGUAGUUAACCUACCCUCGGGACGGGGACAACCCCGGGAAACUGGGGCUAAUACCCAAUGGGUGAGGAGGCCUGGAAUGGUUCUUCACCGAAAGGAUGUUGAAACACGCUUUCAACCUUGCCCGAGGAUGGGACUGCGUCCGAUCAGGUUGUUGGUGGGGUAACGGCUCACCAAGCCUAUAACCGGUACGGGCCGUGAGAGCGGGAGCCCGGAGAUGGAAUCUGAGACAAAAUUCUAGGCCCUACGGGGCGCAGCAGUCGCGAAAACUCCACAAUGCACGAAAGUGUGAUGGGGCUACCCCGAGUGCCGUCCGCUGAGGAUGGCUUUUCUUCAGUGUAAUAAGCUGGAGGCAAUAAAGGGAGGGCAAGAAUGGUGUCAGCCGCCGCGGUAAAACCAACUCCCUGAGUGGUGGGGAUGAUUAUUGGGCUUAAAGCGUCCGUAGCUGGCUUGGUUAGUUCCGCGUUAAAUCCAGCGACCUAAUCGUUGGGAUGCGGGGGAUACGGUCAGGCUAGGAGGCGGGAGAGGUUAGCGGUACUCCAGGGGUAGGGGUGAAAUCCAGUAAUCCCUGGGGGACCAACAGUGGCGAAGGCUGCUAACCAGAACGCGCUCGACGGUGAGGGACGAAAGCUGGGGGAGCGAACCGGAUUAGAUACCCGGGUAGUCCCAGCUGUAAACGAUGCGGGCUAGCUGUUGGGAUGGCUACGAGCCAUUUCAGUGGCGCAGGGAAACCGUUAAGCCCGCCGCCUGGGAAGUACGAUCGCAAGAUUGAAACUUAAAGGAAUUGGCGGGGGAGCACCACAAGGCGUGAAGCUUGCGGUUCAAUUGGA
rnacentral:rRNA from 1 species